ACCCAGAUGUGUUGGUUGCCUGGUAACAUUCUUCUCCUCUGGAUAUAUCUGAAUUUAUUUUUCCAUUUUAACCGAUAGACAUCGGACUUAAUGAAGCAUGCACUAUGUAGGAUUAUCACAUUAUUUUUUACCUUCUUGUCAUGUACUGUUAUUUUCAUCUUCAUUCAAUUUUUUCACAUCUUCAUCAGGCGGCUAGAAUUCUCUCUGAAAGUUUGUCUUUUAUCCAAGUUGAACAAUAGAAUUAUUAUGCAGAAGGUUACUAGGUUAUUUUAGCGACCAUGUGAGAUACUCUCUAAGUAGAACCUUAUAGUUGUCAGAGACGUUCCAUGGACGGUUAACACAUUUCAUAUUUUCAUUAGAGUCAGGUGCUUGACUUUUAUAUAUUUGAUAAAAUGCAAUACUUUUAGCCGACCCCAAAUUUUUGGG
rnacentral:misc_RNA from 1 species